CUCGACUCCAACAUUAGAUGCUAUGGAUGCGAUAAAGGUAAAUGAAUAUAUUUAUUUUCCAGUAACAUCUAGAAACAAUAAAAACUAAACCUGUUAACCUGUUAGUAGAGAAAUUAUGCUUAGGACUAGGGAUUAGCAACAAAACUAAGUACUAAUGUUUUUCCAAUUAUUUUUUUAGUGAUAAUAUACUUGUUUAACUGAUUUAACUAAUAUUUUUUUUUCUUGGACGUUAAAUAUUGUUUGAUUCCACAUCAUCAUUAGAAGUGGUACUAUAUUUCUUUGUAUAUUCUUAUAAUUGCACAAAUUAUUAUAAAUAUAUACUAUAAGUAAACAUUCGUUUGUGAGAUAUGAACACCGUAGCUAAAAGUGCUACCUAAACUGCACUAUGUACAAGAAGUAGCUGCGAUAUAAUUUAAUCUUUGAAUUGUUUUGAUAUUAACUUACAUAAAUUUCCCUUACAGUUUUACAUUCUAUUCAUAAGUCACCCACUUAAAAAUUCAAAUAUAGUUAUUACGUUAUUAUUUACUUUUUUUGUUUAUUAUCCUUCAAAGAUCUUUUUAUUUUUAUUUUUGUUUUACUAUAUGUGUACAGAUGCCUACCCCUUGUGAAUUGGUGUUACCCUAUGGGGAGUUGGACCAAAAAUGUGCCAAGGGAUUGGUCUUUCCAUAUGGGAAUGGGUUAAUACACACAUUGCCUUUACGAGAAAAUCACCUGAAGGUUAUGAUAGACGACAUCGAUAGUAGAUAUGAAAAU
rnacentral:lncRNA from 1 species